rnacentral:rRNA from 1 species
UACGUAGGGUGCGAGCGUUGUCCGGAAUUACUGGGCGUAAAGAGCUCGUAGGUGGUUUGUCGCGUCGUUUGUGUAAGUCCGCAGCUUAACUGCGGGACUGCAGGCGAUACGGGCAUAACUUGAGUGCUGUAGGGGAGACUGGAAUUCCUGGUGUAGCGGUGGAAUGCGCAGAUAUCAGGAGGAACACCGAUGGCGAAGGCAGGUCUCUGGGCAGUAACUGACGCUGAGGAGCGAAAGCAUGGGGAGCGAACAGG